rnacentral:snRNA from 1 species
GGGUCGUGAUGGAUUAACGACA